AUUUAUAUAGUUUAAUAUAAAACAUUACACUUUCAUUGUAAAAUUAAGGAAACUCUUUAUAAAUU
rnacentral:tRNA from 1 species